CGAAGGGGGCUAGCGUUGUUCGGAGUUACUGGGCGUAAAGGGCGCGUAGGCGGCCCUCCAAGUCGGGUGUGAAAGCCCACGGCUCAACCGUGGAAUUGCACUCGAGACUGAAGGGCUUGAGGACGGGAGAGGAUGGUGGAAUUCCCAGUGUAGAGGUGAAAUUCGUAGAUAUUGGGAAGAACACCGGUGGCGAAGGCGGCCAUCUGGACCGUUUCUGACGCUGAGGCGCGAAAGCGUGGGGAGCAAACAGGAUUAGAUACCCUGGUAGUCCACGCCGUAAACGAUGAGUGCUAGACGUUGGGGAGCCUAGCUCUUCGGUGUCGCAGCUAACGCAUUAAGCACUCCGCCUGGGGAGUACGGCCGCAAGGUUA
rnacentral:rRNA from 1 species